GACGAACGCUGGCGGCGUGCUUAACACAUGCAAGUCGAACGGAAAGGCCCUGCUUUUGUGGGGUGCUCGAGUGGCGAACGGGUGAGUAACACGUGAGUAACCUGCCCUUGACUUUGGGAUAACUUCAGGAAACUGGGGCUAAUACCGGAUAGGAGCUCCUGCUGCAUGGUGGGGGUUGGAAAGUUUCGGCGGUUGGGGAUGGACUCGCGGCUUAUCAGCUUGUUGGUGGGGUAGUGGCUUACCAAGGCUUUGACGGGUAGCCGGCCUGAGAGGGUGACCGGCCACAUUGGGACUGAGAUACGGCGCAGACUCCUACGGGAGGCAGAAGUGGGGAAUAUUGCACAAUGGGCGGAAGCCUGAUGCAGCAACGCCGCGUGCGGGAUGACGGCCUUCGGGUUGUAAACCGCUUUCGCCUGUGACGAAGCGUGAGUGACGGUAAUGGAUAAAGAAGCACCGGCUAACUACGUG
rnacentral:rRNA from 1 species